CUCGGCCCCCGCUUCCGCCGCCGCUCCCUCUCCGGCAUCUUCGGGAGCCUCGGGGUCUCCGGGCUCUCCGGUUAGUGACAUCGCCUCAGGCUGGGUUUCUGCAAAGGACAAGAUCCACACAGAAAGAUCAGGGCGUCGGAGCCCGGGGCUGUGGGAAGGAGGGGGUGAGGGACAGCCUCUGCGGGGUGACCGGACCGCUCCCCUCGCCCGGGGACCUUGGUCUCUGGGGCUCGACGCCGGCGCCUGUCCCAAUGGGCACGGACCUUGCGACACUUCCCGCUCUUCGUCGACGCCCAGGCUGAGGAAGCCGGUGCCCUCGUCCUGGUCUGGGCCCGGAGGCUCCAUAUCCCUGUUGCCGUUUGGCACAGAUUCCCCGUCAGACCCCGCGGGCUCCAUGGGGGACGCAGAGAGCGGUGGCCUGCCGACCGGCUUCCGCCAAACGGUCCUGGCGUUGUCAGGUUCCGGGAAGUCUGAGUAGCCGCCCUCCCUAUAUAUACCCCCCACCCCCCGCUGCGGCGGGGGUGGGGGGGUGCUCGCCGAGGUGCGCAUGCGGCUCGGGCUCGGGCCCCAAGCCUGCCUGUGCACUUGCGAGGGUACUCCCGGAGGGAGCACUUGGCCUAGGGCAUCCGAGCCGUCGCGGCCUAGCUAGAGAGGCUGAGUCUUCCAGUCGGCGCUGGGCUCACACGCCCCAGACUGGGGGCCUGUGCCCCCCAGGGAAAGUCGCCGCGCUGGAUCGUGCCAGCCCGUGUGGGCAGGGGAAGACGCAGAGCCCACCCUAGCUCUGGAGACCCCACCGAGGGCUUGGGAGAAGGUCCCUGGCCAGCCCUGCGAAUCCAGCAGCCGCCACUAGGCAGGAAAUAGUCAUCCGAGGACUGUGAUGGGCUCUGAGGUGGCACAGUCUGAGGCUUUUCGGGGAGACGACCCAAGUCAGAGCCCGCCACACCCCCGGCUCCCCGGGAACGGGAGCUGGUGCUGGGGUCUUCUGAGCGUGUCUGGUGCCCAGAUGCACCGUGCAGAUGAAACCAUGCUUGCCCCUUCACAGGGGCCUGGGCCUCCGGGAUUUUAGUCCCGAAGCCACACUUCAUGUCGGGGCUGCGAACCUGCACGGGGCUUAGCCCCUUCCAAGUCGGCUCAAACUGGACAGCCCUCCCACGGGUUGGGGUUUUGUUCAGUUUUCCUCGUUCAAACGUUGCUCUUCUCAUCGCCACCAUGGAUGCCAAAACCCCUUCGGGCACAGCGUCUAUACCUCCGCCUCGAGACUUCUCUCUACAAGCAUGCAUGUUCCUUAUGGUGGGACCCUUUGGAUCUGGGUCAUUACCCACUUCCUGGCCUUUGCCCCCCCCCCCCCCCCCCCCCCGCCCGCCCCGACACUCUCCUCCCCUGGGUUUUCCAUGAAAUAUCUUCCUGAGCCCUUGUUGAGGAAUAGAUGAAUUUUAUUUCUUGCUUGUUGUUUUUCUUUUCCGUUCUUGUUUUUGUUUCUUCUAGCGAGGAUACAUCCUUAUUGGUUGGAGAGUUGAGUUGAGCAAGUUUUUGGUUUCUCCAGAAGUGAAUUUUACAUCCAAAGAAGAAAACCCUAAGCAUAUACUGAGCUCAGCCUGAUGCUCCUAGGCCCGGGUCCUGUGCUGGACAAUGUCCCUGAAGGACCCCGCGAUCACCGCACAGCCGAGCUCACCACUCUAGUUGAAAUCCGAAGCUACAGCAUUCCCACGGGCUCCCGAGGGCAUCGUGGGCCCAAGGUACCUCAGCCACCGCGCCUGAGGGGGGAGAAGUGCCCCUGCCUCGUGGUCCUGGAGGAUGGCUCAGACACCCACCGCAGGUUUGGGGACCAGUCCCUUUUCACAGGUGUGGUAAGGGAUGGAGACUGCACUACCCCCUCCUGACUCGAACCAAAUGUCUCCUCCUGGGCUUUGGUCUUGUUGAGUGCCGCCGGCCCCCGACCGGCACCCCCUGGCCAGGUAGCCCGGGCACAAUUUUGACCCGAGUCUACUUAUUGUGUGAGAGACCUCAAGGGCUUCCGUCCUGUGCCUGUUGGCCUCCCUGCGGUCUCCGCGUGCCCUUUCCUGCCUCCGUCUCCACGGAGCGGUCCUGUCUGCUGCCCUUCAGUCUCUCGUGGGACCCUCGGCCUCUCUCGCCCUACCUGGGCAUCAGGUGUGCUAGCAUUUACUUACACCGUUUCCUUCCAUCACUUCACCCUUGGCACACCUUAGGAAGCAAAUGAAACCUCGUCCUUAGCAAAAAUAGCCCCGAGUCACGGUUCCUUGGGUCCCGCUCAUCGGAGGGGGGCUCUGGAGCCAGAGGGAUGCCGGCGGCCUCCGGCUCGCUCAUCCCUUGCGAGCUGGCGGGGCUGCGGAUCUGCUUGGUCUCACUCUGCCCUGGUUUCCUCGUCUGUAAGAGGAGAGCAACGACCUCGGCAGCGUGCUGCCGGAGUGACUGAGAUGACACACAGGAACUAUGGCUGAUGGCCCUGCCCUGCCCUCCCCCAUCUGGACUGCAGCCCGUCUUGUGUUGCUUUACUCACAGGCGCCAUGAGAGCAGAGAGCCGCUGGUUCGUCGCCGGCGGUCGGUCGGCAACGAGGACAGAUCGUGAUCUUGUGACCUAAGGGCCCUCUGCCAGGCAGUGCGGGGAAGGAGUCCCGUCCAGACCCAGCCGUCCUGGCGCCCUGGUUCUCCCAGCCCACGGGAGAGACAGAAGCUGGAAGUGAUGGAGUCCCAGCAGCACUAACGCGCUCUGCGACCCAGGGCAGCCAGGGGUGCCUGAGGAAUGUCACACAUAUUACUGAGAGGAGUGGGUAGACAGGAGGUGCAAGGUGCCAGCUUUUGCUUUGUCCUCAGCCAGCCUUCUGCUCCCUCAUCAGUCAACACUAGGAAAUGCUUUUUGGUUUCAAGAUCAUCUGGUGAGAAUGGCAAUGGGCAUGUCUGCACAGGAACAUUCUUGAAUUUCCCUCACUCCCAGCAAGGCCUGAGGUCUCUGGGUGACAGUAACAUCCCCUUUGUGGAAGCCUGACAUUGCAGCCACUUCUCUGACAUCUGUCACUCACGAGUGAGAAAGAUAGGAAGAAGGAAUAAAAUAUUCAUGGCCACCGUGGCCAAGAGCAUAUGCUUUCCCAAGAAAACAGAGCGUUCCACACUGGGAACAUACAAGCACUGUGAAACUGGUCUCUGAUCAACUCCCAUGAAGGGAAACUCUGAUGUGACCAGGACACCUGGUCUGUAGUUUCUGCAAUCACUUCACAUGACCGUGGCGGCCACAAUUGAUCGCUUUCUACACAGAACUCCAUGAAACUAGCCUCGCAUUGCUACAGAUUCAUCAAAAACAAAGGUGGAACUGAGAAAAAAGUAAUCCUUUAAAAAAAAAAAAGUGGGCCUGUGCUCGCUUCAGCGGCAUGUACAUUAAAAUUGGAACAAUACAGAGACGGUGAGCACGGUCCCUGCAUAAGGGUGAGGUGCAAAUUCGUGAAGCAUUCUGUAUUUUAAAGAACAAAAAAAAAAGUAGGCCUGGCUUCUUCACUUCACCAACCUUUCCUUGUUUUUCUCUACACUGACAUCUGUACACAGAGAAGCCAGCAGGAACAAAGCAAAGGUAUGCUGCUUCUUCUCAAUGAGGGAUUAUUCUAGAACACUGCUCAGGAGACGUCUCCUUACUCUUGAUUUGAGCAGCAGUAAACCAACUGGUCCCCUUUCAGUGUUGAACAACAGGAAUUGGGUUCCUCUCAAGGAUGUUGAAGGUGACAAAAUACUUUUAAAGGCGUCAUGGUCAGCUUCUGAGCUGGAGAAAGAUCGAUAAAAUGCUGUCCUGGGCCGGUGUGGUGGGUAGGGGAGUGGUGGGGAUGGAAGAAAAGGGAGAAGAGCCUCUUUCUGGCCUUGAUGGAAUCUCUUCUCAUUUUUCUGCUGAAGCAACAGAACCUGUGUGCCAGAAUGGCUUCUAUUCCCCAGUCUCCUCCACAAAAAGGGAGGGUCGUGAACGGAAUUUGAAACCUACUGGUUCGGUGUUUGGUAGCCAUCUUCCCCUGAAUCCCUGUGAGGAGCUUCUUAAGAGGUUUCCCCAGAGUCCAGUGUUCAGCCCGAACAUGUCAGCAUGAGUGGAGCUAGUCUCCGGAAAUGACACUGUCCUCUCACUAGGGACUCACCCCACCCCAUCUUGCACAUAUCUGUGGUCCCAAAGGGGCAAGGUGGGGAUAAAGGUGGGCCGAGGGAUAGAAGAGAAUAUAUGGGUCAGGGCAAGCUCAUCAUGGGUCCUUGGUGAGCUUCUGUGACGUGCAGGGCGCACACAGAGCGAUUCCGGGAUGUAGCCUCGUGAAAGGAAACCUUUGUGGAGGCCAAGAAAAACAAGGCUGUACCCACCUCGAGUCUAACCCUCGAGUCUGACAUAAGUCAGCCAUCUUGACAAAGCAAAAGCUGGCACCUUGCACCCCCUCUCCACCCACUCCCCUCCCCUCGGUAGUAUGUGUGAACAAAUAGUUAACUUGCAGAGAUCGCGAUCCUGCAAGACAGGAGUCUCCCUCAGUUUACAAAUGUCCCAGUGCUAAAUCUCACUAGCAAGGACGCUUGAUAGGAGGAAUGUGACAUUCCACCAGGAAACUCCCAGCGGUCUUCCUGUUAGUGCCUCAUUAGAGGG